rnacentral:rRNA from 1 species
GACACGACUCUCGGCAAUGGAUAUCUCGGCUCUUGCAUCGAUGAAGAGCGCAGCGAAAUGCGAUACGUGGUGCGAAUUGCAGAAUCCCGCGAACCAUCGAGUCUUUGAACGCAAGUUGCGCCCGAAGCCAGCCGGGCAAGGGCACCUCCGCCUGGGCGUCAAAC